CACAACCAGAGGUAGAUACAGAUUGUGGUCCAUAAUUUACAGCAAAAUGCCCCUUUUGUCCAUUUAAUCCUAAAUUAUAUAUCUCCUAAUACAUACUAUAAAGUACAUUAAAAUAAAAUGAUGACAGACUGAACAGUGAAUGCCUCCUUCAGGCAUGAGAGAAAGAAAUGUCUCAGGGACAAGGCUGUGCUUAUGCAGUGUUUUGCAAACAGUGACUGCAUUUAACAACACUUCAGUUAGAUCAUCUCCAUAAAGGGAAAAGAGGAGGAGGAGAGUGGGAAUAACUAAUUCAACCUCACAGCUCAUAUCACUGUCCCCUGACUGAAGACUUCACAGCAGUGUAUCUGAAUGGAUUUUGGAGGGAGCAGUAAAACUAACAGCUGAUAAACCACAUAUAUAACCACAGUGAAUUAAAUCUUUAAUAGUGGAAUAAGGAAAAGAAAUAAUGAGUAGCAAACUGCGUAUUUACAGCAUGGAAUUUAUGAAAGUUUGGAGACCUAAUAGUAACAUUCAACUUGAGAACACUAGGUGAUUAAAGGUGGAUCCAAACCAAUGCAUUAGUCAAGUUCAGUGUCUUACUCUUCCUGUGCUGUUGAUGACAGACCAUAAAGCCAGCUCAGAAGUAUGGCACAGCUCACAGUAGCCUGACUUGAAACCCUAAGCUUCAUAAGGGCUAACACUGAAUCAAUAAAUCGAUCACCCCCUUCUGGUUUCUUUGCA